rnacentral:lncRNA from 1 species
UGCCGUCCGUUUUAUAGUUGAAGCAAGCUAGGCAGAUUAUCAAAGUGUCAUAGAUACGGUGAUUGGGUGAAGGAUCUCAAGCUGCUGCUGCUGUGAUUUGACUCUACUGCAGUUGUUAUUGUGAUUACGGUAAACCGAAUUUUAUGGGUUUGAUUUCCAUUUGAUGAACCAUCUGUGAGUUGUUGAUAAAAGGAAAUGUGAGCUUAGUUUUGUUACAUGUCGUGAUUUGAAUACGGGUUCCAGCUUAGUAAUCUAUUAUGCAGAAUGAUUUUUUUUUUCUUUUUCGGUCACAAAGUCCUGGAUUCUAUUCUUUUUAAGUUUAGUUAAAACAUUUUACUCACUAGUUAAUUGCAGGAAGCAUGAUUGUUUGAUUACAGGUUUUUUUUUGCAUACAUGGUUUAGACCAAAUGGUUAUCAGUAUUUCUGGAUUUGAAUUGAAAUAAGUCAAGACUAAUGUUUACAUAAGUUAUGACUUAGUAAGAGAUCGAUUUAAGCUUAUUUCAUAGUUUUGAUGACAGUAUUUGACAUAUUUGGAUAAUGUGGGUN